rnacentral:rRNA from 1 species
AACGAACGCUGGCGGCAUGCCUAAAAAAUGAAAGUAGAAAGAGACCUUCGGGUCUAGUGGCGCACGGGUGCGUAACGCGUGGGAACCUGCCCUUAGGUUCGGAAUAACUCCCCGAAAGGGGUGCUAAUACCGGAUAAUGUCUUCGGACCAAAGAUUUAUCGCCUUUGGAUGGGCCCGCGUUGGAUUAGCUAGUUGGUAGGGUAAAAGCCUACCAAGGCGACGAUCCAUAGCUGGUCUGAGAGGAUGAUCAGCCACACUGGGACUGAGACACGGCCCAGACUCCUACGGGAGGCAGCAGUGGGGAAUAUUGGACAAUGGGCGAAAGCCUGAUCCAGCAAUGCCGCGUGAGUGAUGAAGGCCUUAGGGUUGUAAAGCUCUUUUACCCGGGAUGAUAAUGACAGUACCGGGAGAAUAAGCUCCGGCUAACUCCGUG